UGGUUCCCGUGACAGGAUUCGAACCUGUAAUCAUCCGAUUAUGAGUCGGGUGCUUUAACCAAUUAAGCUAAACGGGA
rnacentral:tRNA from 1 species